rnacentral:pre_miRNA from 1 species
AGCCUUCUGUAUCCGUGCUGAGAUUUCAUCGGAGAUCAACCCAUUGGGGCUGAUGAUACUUCCCAAGUAAGUGAAGCG